UGUGUUGGUACAAUAAUUGUCCAGACAUGACGGUUGGUUGGCUCGAUGGAACUCAAAAUAUUGGUUGCUCGAAAUCUUGGUUGUCUUGGUACUAUAAUUGUCUAGGCAUGAUGGUUGGUUGCCCCGAUGGGAUCCAAAAUAUUGGUUGCUCAAAAUAUUGGUUGUCUUGGUACAGUAAUUAUCUAGACAUGAUGGUUGCUUUGAUAUGUUGUUUCGAAAUAUGGCUUCUCUAAAUGAUAAUUGUCUAGACAAGAUGGUUAGUUUUCAUGAUAGAAUAAAAAUAAUGGUUGCUCGAAAUAUUGGCCGUCUUGAUACAAUAAUUGACCAAACAUGAUGGUUGUUUCUUGAUGGAAUCCAAAAUUUUGGUUGCUCAAAAUAUUAGUUGUCUUGUUACAAUAAUUGUUUAGGAUAAGAUCGGUUGCUUUGAUAUGUUGUUUCGAAAUAUGGUUGUCUUGAAAUAAUAAUUGUUGCGAAAUAUUGAUUGCCUUAUUACAAUAAUUGUUUUAAUACCAUGGUUGCUUAAAUAUUGAUUGUUUCAAAUUGAUUGUUGUUGCAAAAUUCCCAUCUUGGUUGCCUCAUAAUGAUAAUUGUUGUGAAAGAUUAGAUUCUUUGGUUAUUAAAUGUUUGGACAUGAAGGGGUUGCCUUCAUCUAUAAUUGUAUUGAAAUAUAUGUUGCCUCAAUUGUAAUUACAUCAUGAUUGCUUUAGUUUUUGAGAGUUGUCUUGAAAUAUCAGUCGUUUCCAUCGUAAUAUUUUUAUCCCGAUAUAAUUGUUCUUUAUGGUCUAAUGGGAUCAAGAAUUUUCAACUUAUUUUCAUUUUUAAGUAGACUUAUUGAAUAUUGAUUUGUUGCAUUUGAAUGAUAAUUAUUGUAAAAUGUUGACUUUCUUAUUAUAAUAGACAUAUAUAAUAGUUGUCUUAGUUCAAUAUGAUAAUUGUCUCAACAUAUCUAACAUAUUAAUUGUAUCAGUUGUAAUAUGAUGGUUGUUUACCAUGUUACGAUAGUUGUGUAAGGGCUGGAGGAGUACCUCGGAGUUUGGAAAUAAACUCAAGUAAGGACUGGUCAAGGCAGGACGUGUAAGAUUCAGUUUGGUUUUAGUCAUUAUUGAUGACCGAACUGAAUCGAACCCUCCGUUCCCAAAGAAGAGUGUCGAUGGCAGUGCCAUGGGAAGAGAGAAAGCAAUAGCAAGAGGGUAAAGAUGAACAAAAACUUUAUACCAUAGUGUCGACCGGUGUCUCCUAUGCAACCUCAAUUUCAACUAUUCAAAUUUGUUCGUAGAUAUACAAUGCGGUUAGAAGUUUCUUAAUGAUCAUUGUUACUAUUUUACUUAAUUUUUAAUUUACUCGGGUAGAUAUUGUUGUCGAUACUUGCAAUUUGUAGGUAUAAUA